rnacentral:rRNA from 1 species
UGAGCAAUCUGCCCUUCUCAUCGGAAUAAGCGUUGGAAACGACGUCUAAUGCCGAAUACGACCUCCUUUCGCAUGAUCGGAGGUGGAAAGCUCCGGCGGAGAGGGAUGAGCUCGCGGCCUAUCAGCUAGUUGGUGUGGGUAAUGGCCCACCAAGGCGACGACGGGUAGCCGGCCUGAGAGGGUGACCGGCCACACUGGGACUGAGACACGGCCCAGACUCCGUACGGGAGCAG